GAUGAACGCUGGCGGCGUGCCUAACACAUGCAAGUCGAGCGAGAAAUUUAUGAACGAAACUUCGGUGGAGUGAAUAAAUGGAAAGCGGCGGACGGGUGAGUAACGCGUAGGCAACCUGCCCCUUACAGAGGGAUAGCCUCGGGAAACCGGGAUUAAAACCUCAUAAAGCGAAGCAAACACAUGUUUGAAUCGCCAAAGAUUUAUCGGUAAGGGAUGGGCCUGCGUCUGAUUAGCUAGUUGGAGGGGUAACGGCCCACCAAGGCAACGAUCAGUAGCCGACCUGAGAGGGUAAUCGGCCACAUUGGAACUGAGACACGGUCCAAACUCCUACGGGAGGCAGCAGUGGGGAAUAUUGCACAAUGGGCGAAAGCCUGAUGCAGCAACGCCGCGUGAGCGAAGAAGGCCUUUGGGUCGUAAAGCUCUGUCGGAAGGGAAGAAAAAAAUGACGGUACCUUCUGAGGAAGCCCCGGCUAACUACGUGCCAGCAGCCGCGGUAAUACGUAGGGGGCAAGCGUUAUCCGGAAUUAUUGGGCGUAAAGAGUGCGUAGGUGGUCUUGUAAGCGUGGGGUGAAAGGCAGUGGCUCAACCAUUGUAAGCCCUGCGAACUGCGAGACUUGAGUGCAGGAGAGGAAAGCGGAAUUCCUAGUGUAGCGGUGAAAUGCGUAGAUAUUAGGAGGAACACCAGUGGCGAAGGCGGCUUUCUGGACUGUAACUGACACUGAGGCACGAAAGCGUGGGGAGCAAACA
rnacentral:rRNA from 1 species